GUUUUGAUGAGCAAUGUCUCCAACUCCAUACCUUUGAGCAAAAGUCACAUUCCAAGAGUCUCUUUGCCAACUUUAUAAUGCUCACUUGCUCAAAAGUUUGCUUGAAAGGAAUACAUAUUCUCCUUCUUUUCUUAUCUUUUGGCGUUUGUUCACUUAUUUACAAGUUUGAAGGUGUAAAAGGAUUUAAAAGUGUUAGAUAAUGAUGCAGACUUUGUAU
rnacentral:misc_RNA from 1 species